UACGGAGGGUGCAAGCGUUAUCCGGAUUCACUGGGUUUAAAGGGUGCGUAGGUGGGCAGUUAAGUCAGUGGUGAAAUCUCCGGGCUCAACCCGGAAACUGCCUUGAUACUAUCUGUCUUGAAUAUCGUGGAGGUAAGCGGAAUAUGUCAUGUAGCGGUGAAAUGCUUAGAUAUGACAUAGAACACCAAUUGCGAAGGCAGCUUACUACCCGAAUAUUGACACUGAGGCACGAAAGCGUGGGGAUCAAACAGG
rnacentral:rRNA from 1 species